UUCUUUUUGUGUUUUUUUU
rnacentral:sRNA from 1 species